AUUUAUAUAGUUUACUUAAAACAUUACAUUUUCAAUGUAAAAUCAGAUAAAUUUUAUCUUAUAAAUU
rnacentral:tRNA from 1 species